UACGGGGGGAGCAAGCGUUGUUCGGAUUUACUGGGCGUAAAGGGCGCGUAGGCGGUCAGCACAAGUCAGUUGUGAAAUCUCCGGGCUUAACUCGGAAAGGUCAACUGAUACUGUGCGACUAGAGUGCGGAAGGGGCAACUGGAAUUCUCGGUGUAGCGGUGAAAUGCGUAGAUAUUGGGAAGAACACCUGAGGCGAAGGCGGGUUGCUGGGCUGAUACUGACGCUGAGGCGCGAAAGCCAGGGGAGCAAACGGG
rnacentral:rRNA from 1 species